GCCACGUGGUGCCUCUGAAACAACAAAUCACUUUUAAUUUUUAAGCAUGGAGCCAGUUAAAUUGCCACAUCUGUAUUUGGUGGAUGCUUUGUCCAGUCCUAUAAUUUGUAGACCACAGUGACAUAGCCAGGACCAUGGAGAGAGACCAUUGCUGAGGAGGUGGGAAUAGCAAGCUCCUGGCCAAUCAGAUGAUCCUACAUGACGAAGUUGCUCGUAAAGAUGCAAGUCUGAUGACAAACUCAGGAUGAUGAACCUGAGGAUUUGUACAAAACAGGUGAGGUGGACUUUGACCCCAACUAUGAGAGUUUACUAGCGGAGCUCCACCUAGCAACCAGCGGUAGCAACGCACCUGGAGUGGAUCAGAUACAAUGAGAAACUAAUACUGGAGAAACCUGAGGAUUUGUACAAAACAGGUGAGGUGGACUUUGACCCCAACUAUGAGAGUUUACUAGCGGAGCUCCACCUAGCAACCAGCGAUAGCAACGCACCUGGAGUGGAUCAGAUACAAUGAGAAACUAAUACUGGAGAAUUAUGCGGCCAUUUUUCAGCCCGGCCAAGUGUUGAGGAGACAAGAAGAGGCACUGAGAAUGGAGGCUGCUAAGAGAGGGAUCUCACGUAAACUGGCCACUCAGACGCUAACAGACCUCAGCAGUAUGGAAAAGGGUCUGUCAUCAGAGACUACAAACUGCCCAGCCCUUACAUGCAGCCCACCUCCAGUCUGGUGAGCAGCCUAUAAGCAGUGAGGGACAGUCUGAAGACAUGGGUCCAUGGACAGGGGCUACCGAGAAACCUCCAAGAGAUACUACACAUAGGGACAGAGCCGACCGACGUGGAGACGGUUACUAUCGCUACUGAAGAGGUGGUACCCAGUUCACAGUUUGAGAUAGAGAUAAGUCAGAGUGAUGAUGGGGAGAGUGUGGAGCAGCUACAGGCCAGUGACUUGGGCCCUAACUUUGGCCUUGUGCAUGAUACCCAGGAGGUCCACACGCUCACUAGCGAUGAUGGUUUGCCCUCUGACAUGACCUCUGAGGAUGGCUCCACCCUCAACGCUAUAGGCCACGCCCUCAUCCAGAUGCAGCAAGGUGGACAGACCACCCCCUCAUCUCAGUUACUCAUCACUAGGAGCACUUCAUCUGGUUCAGAGUCUGGCCAAAAUGGUGAGUAAUGGAGGCCAAAUUUAUCAGUGUGACGAUACAUUUUUGGGGGCAAAUCCAAAAUUAUAUAUAGGCUUAGAUAAGUUAUCCA